rnacentral:rRNA from 1 species
UACAGAGGUCCCGAGCGUUGUUCGGAUUUACUGGGCGUAAAGGGCGCGUAGGCGGCCUCCGCAAGUCAGUUGUGAAAUCUCCGAGCUUAACUCGGAAAGGUCAACUGAUACUGCGGGGCUAGAGUGCGGAAGGGGCAACUGGAAUUCUUGGUGUAGCGGUGAAAUGCGUAGAUAUCAAGAGGAACACCUGCGGCGAAGGCGGGUUGCUGGGCCGACACUGACGCUGAGGCGCGAAAGCUAGGGGAGCGAACGGG